GCUGCAAUAGACCAAUAUAUAAAUACUUUGCUUGGCUUUGUUGUUAAUAAUGAUAAAGGUCCCAACAUUCCAACCCUUGCCAAACAACCUGAACUUGGGAGGGUUGGAGCCAUGAUGACAUGUGCAAGGAUCCAGGCAGCAUCGCAUGAUUUUGGUGGCUGUUUAUGCGAGCCUGCUUUGCAGGGAUGACCCUGUUUGAAAGGUCUUCUAUAGACUACAGAUGAAAAUUAUUGAGUGGAAAUUUAUAUACAUUUAUUAACGACCCUACUAUAAAAGACCCUUCAACUAUUAUUGAAUCGAGUGAGAAGCCAACAAAAUCUCGAUAUUUUCUCUUCUCAAAAUCUCUUCCUAAGCUG